ensembl:snRNA U2 U2 spliceosomal RNA
ACAGUAACCUCAGCCUUUCAGCUCAGAUCAAAUGUAGUAUCUGUUCUUAUCAGUUACAUAUCUGAUACGUCCUCUACCUGGGAACCAUAUAUUAAAUAGAUUUUUGAAACAGGGAGGUGGAAUAGGGGCUUCGGGAACAGGGUCCACUCCACGCAUUGACCUGCUUUUGCAGGACCUCCAGGAACAGUGCACCCCCU